AUUCCAGGCUCUUCUGUGCCUGUGGGACUACAUUCUCUGUGCCGGGCUUAGAGAACACGAAGAGGGAGCCAUCUGCCACACUCUGGAGGCUGAAGCCUGCACCAGUGCUGCUCGCCUCACUGUGGUAGGUGGUGGUGAUGGAAACUGCAGAUCGGCCAGAGUGGUAGAAAAGUUGCUGCAGGGUUUUUCUGGCUUUGCCUGCCCAGCUGCUCCAUGCCUGGCUAGAGGAGAAGGAGGAGCCACAUGUGGUACACUGGAGGCUGGAGCCUGCAGAUGGCAUGGCUCUGCGGCUCACCUUGCUGCAGUUGGUGGUGGUGACAGAGACUGCAGCUUGACUGUAGUGAAUCCAUGAGGAAAGUUUCGAAGUCCAGAUCCAAGUCGGAAACGAGGGCACUUACGAAGUCAUCAACAGAAGGACACUUCUGAAGCAUACCUGCAAACAAAGGAAAGGUCAGAACUGCGUUCACCAGGAGGC
rnacentral:lncRNA from 1 species